ensembl:ncRNA mir-124 mir-124 stem loop
UCAUUUGGUACGUUUUUCUCCUGGUAUCCACUGUAGGCCUAUAUGUAUUUCCACCAUAAGGCACGCGGUGAAUGCCAAGAGCGAACGCAGUUCUACAAAU